AGGGAAAUAUUGACAUUUCAGGAGGUCUGCAUGUACCUAGAAGAGGUGGUCGUUUCACGGAUCAAACGCUACUUGGAAGCACCUAAACAGCGUGGUCAAUGGAAGUCAAUGGAACAUGCAUCGUCAACUCCUCUGUUCAUUACAGCCAACAAUUUUCACAUUACUGCCUACUUUAUGAAGAGAUGGGUUAAUCUCCGUUGUGCUCUAGGGAAACGUUAUCGUGAGCUACGUAUGUUUCCAGACAAAUUUGUUGUUUGUAUCAGUAAACUUGAAUUUAAUCCAAGCGCUUGGACAUGUGAAAAUGGUGCACUGACAUCUCUUUGGACAAAUGUUAAGGAUCUUCAGAGCAGGUUUUGCGAGAAAGAAGUUUCCAAUGGGACAUCUGAAUAUUUUUCUGAAUCUGCUGAAAACGGAAAGCUUAAGCUUAGUCUGAACGAACAGAUAAAGCAAGAUAUCUUGAAGGAAAUUGUGAAAAGGACAAAAAAGGGGAAAAAUAGUGUGAGCAAACCUCAAACCAACAAGGACUCCAAGAAAGUGGAUCUUGGCUCAGUGGGCUUACAGACAGGGAACAGAAAGAAUGACUGUCAAACUUCUCCCAGUCCUCAAUCAGAAGUGAAAUGGAGGAGCACAGGACGGCUAAAGAACUGCAUAAAUACAGCUGAGAGCAACUUGGAGUUUCCUGUUUCAGAGCUGGAAAAUAAUGUUAAUCAGAGACAGCCAGAGGAUGCUAGCAGCCAGCAAAAACCUCACUCUGUGGAGCGGUUGAAGUCAAGACUUCUAAGCAAAAAUUCUCCUUGUAGCUAUGAGUCAGCACUGCUAGGUCCAAAACAAAAUCAAAAAAUAACUGAAACUAACUGUAGUUCAGAAGAAAAGUUAGACCAUUUCAAAGAAAUAUCCUCUGAAGAGACUCCUUUAAUUCCUAGCAACACAGAAAGGAGUAAGUGCAGUGAUGAUCAUCUAGGUCUGUUCUUGGAGGAGAAGACCCCACUUAAUUCCAGGUUGUUUUCUAAACAAGACUUAACAAAAAUUGCAUCUGAUGAAAAGUUAGUUACUUUUGGAAAAAAACAAUCCCAGCCUCUUUCUACGAGGACAAACCAAAAUGAGCCAGACACAACCACUGAAGAAUUACCAGUGGUGCUUUCAUCAUCCUAUUUAGAAAUGCAGGCUGUGUCUUCAGAGAAGCUGAUCCAAAAAAGGAAAAAAGAAGGUGAAGAUGGUCUCAGGAAGUUAAAACUACGAAGGCUUAAGAAGCCAUAAAGACUGAAAUAUCACCAUGGUAGUGUGGGCGAACAGCCAGAUUUGUGUUUGGAAAGCAUAUAUAAAAACCUGUUUACGUGUUACUCACAAUGCUUUGCAAUAAGGUUGCUAAUGCUGCCAAUCUUCAGGCUAUGCAGAAAGGUCUUUCCAAGUAACAAGCAAAAGGGAGGCUGCAAAUGAACCUGGGUUUGGAAUAAUAUCCUGAGGUAUGUUUACUGCACUUUUGUAUGGGCUGGAGACUCUGCUAGUAAGGACUUGGAAGAGAUAUAAAGAGUAUAAGGACAUCUAGUUAAGUUUCAGAGAAAUAAAAGUAAGUAAAACAGAAUUGCUCAAUUGUUUAUAUUAAGAUCUCAGCCAUUUUCUAGAUGGUUUAUUUAAGACCUAACAGUGAAUAAUCUGAUAACAAAUGGUACAAGCGUAUAUUCUAGUCUGCUGUUUUACAUUCCCAUUAUUUCUACCAUGCUUUUUAUCUGGAUGCUUUUGAAUUUUCCAUUAUACUCUUGCUUAUAACAGGUAACUAUAGGAGAUGAACUAUUAGAAUAUUAUUAUGUAAGAACAGACACAUGUUGAGUUGGCAAAUUUACUUCAGGUUUUUUGUUUAUUUGUUUUUGAUAUUUGUUUUUGUUUUGUUCUGCUUAGCAAAGAGGUGUUACGAUGGCUUUCCCAAAGUGGCAAACACACUGAUUGUUUCUGUGAGAACUGUGCGCAAACUGGAGCAAGUAUGCCCCAAACUACUACUAAUAGCUUUGGAAUCAGAAGCUUCCCCUCCUCUUGCACUUCUCUUCUUCAAAAGAACUUAAUUCAAGUAUUAGAAUCAAGUAUGACGCAAGAUAACACUUUACCAUGUGUGUCUUGUAUCAGUGAAUAUUAGUAUUCUUACUAGUUUGGCCUUAUAAUUACAGAUUAGUUUUACUUGUAACCGAGUAACAUAUCUGCAUGCACCCUUAAAAAUGACUGUCAUACAUUUGUAUGGGCAGAUAAAAUUAUUGCUUUUUCUGCAGCUGAGAGUAGUUGAUUUUGCUUUUAGGAUAUUUUGUUUUGUUACUUAGAGUACUGUUUCCCAUCACCUUACUGAUAACAUGAGAACAUCUGUUUAAAAUAGUGAUCUUGUAAAAUUAAGAAACGUAGGACUAGAUUGUUUAAAAAUGUUUGAGCUUACAGGCUCAGAACAAUUACAGUGAACUUUACAGUGAACUGUAAUUGGUGGCUUGUUAGGUUCCUAGGCUUGUUUGUGAGACCCACUGCUUUUUAGAUGUGUAUUUAGAAGUUAAUUUGAAAAGCUAUUUCUUGCAUCCUUUCAGAAAUGCAGGGCAUUUUAGGGAAAAAGUUUCAAUAUUGUCAUUUCUGGAUUUUAGAUGGUGCUACCACUCAGAAUUGUUCUUUCUUCUCCUUGUGCAUUAGGACUACUGUAAAAGUUUCCCUUUUGCAAAUGCAAUGGAGGAUUUAAUGUGAUACCUGAACUGUAUUGUUAGCAUAUGCCUCUGUUAUCUGUCUGCUUUAACCCCGAGGUUCUUCUCCUGAGCCUUGUGUUUUUUCUUUAUCUGCAGUCCACCUGCAUCCAGAUGACUGACAGAUGUGUGUGGUCUGGCAUACUCUAGAAAUGCUAACCUGGUUUCCAAGUCAUGGUUAGGAUCAGGAGAAAAAAAAAGCCUGCUGGAAACUGAGCCUCAGUAAGAGAAAAAGAGCAGCUUUCAAGUCUUGGCCCAGGCUUGCUAUUACAAAUUUGCUACACAGCAGAGUUAGCAUGCCUUUUUAUUAAAGAUAUUAAAUAUUUAAGGCUCUAUUCUAUUCUGAAGCUUCCAUUGAAGCACAGAAAUAAUGUCUUCAUUUUUUUCUUUGGGUUUGUUUUUUAUUGUUUGUUUUUUCUUCAGUGCUUCUAUGAACUUCUCUGAAAUAUGUAUAGGUCUGAGGAGCUGACUGGCUAAAGCCGUGGUCUGCUUAAUUUGGUCUGUGCUGUUUGCUGAUAGCGAGGCAGUCCUUUCCCAGCCAAACUAAUGUGUGCAGACUAUCAUUUCCAGUAUGUGUUACAAAGAAGCAGUUAAAAUAUUUGUGUAGUGAACCUGUGUAUUUAAACAUACAUCAAAGGCUAGGCCAGCCUUUUACAUAUUUAUAUAUUAAAAGGAAGCAGCUGAUGUAAAAUAUCGUUUGCCCAGCGCUGAUCCCCGUAGGAGAGUUUUCAGCUAGUAGAACACUUCUAUUUGGGUGAUAGGCAUUGUGCUAGUUCUGAUGAUUGUCAAAUUGUAGUUCUGCAUACCAGGUUCUACAGCUUAUACAAGUAUGUUAUUACCAGUUCAUUGUCACAUUUCAGUGUAACACUUGACUUGAAGAAUAUCAAGAACACUUGUUUCUAACAGAAAAAGAAAAUUUUAAGAACAAAACCUUUCUUUACUACAAAAUAUUUUGUCUGAGUGAGGUGUUAGAUAAACUUGCUGGAACAUUUAUUUUAUCAGUGUAAACUUCCUUCCCUCUCACAGCUCUGCAUGUGGGUCACAUUUUUUGGGUUUUAAUUGGCAUUUUUACAUCAUCAUCUCAUUGGCUUUUGAAGGGAAAGUUGAUCUUUUU